rnacentral:lncRNA from 1 species
CAUAAGUGUAUAUAGUGUGCGCUCGCAUAAAUGUAUAUAUACACUUAUGUAUUGUCUUCUUAGGAAAAAUUGAAAGAUGCGAUUUUGCAUGCCUCUAACACUAACAUAAAAGAAGAUGCUCUUUCUAAAUUACUUGGUCCAUAGAAUAGUGGGCGAUUACGAGGGAUUGGAGGUGGAGUUUGCUAUACAAAGUAUUCCAUAUUAACUCAAAGGGAGUCUACUGUAGCUCAUUUAAAGGAAGAACAAAAUCAUCUAAAGGUUCAAGUGGCGGAUAUGGAGAAAAUAAUCAAUGACUUACUAAAAAAACUGGUUAGUAAGUUCCUUUAAGUGAAAUAUAACUCAUAUGCUUUUACUUCACAUGAUAUAGUAACGAGUUUUUAAUAUUUUUUAUCUUUGUAGUUUCAGGAAAAGCAAAGUGAAGAAUUAUCUAACAUUCAACCGUCUUCAUUGGUAAAAUUUAUCAUUCCUUUUAAUUGAUAAUAUAUAUUUAUUUUUAAAGUUGAUUAUAACCUGGC